GCCGGGCCCGGUGGUGCGUGCCUAUAGUCCCAGCUACUUAGGAGGCUGAGGCUGGAGGAUCACUUGAGUCCAGGAGUUCUGGGCUGUAGUGUACUAUGCCAAUCGGUGUCCGCACUAAGUUUGUCAUCAAUAUGGUUACCUCCCGGGAGCAGGGGACCACAGGUUGCCUAAGGAGGGGUGAACCUGCCCAGGUCGGAAAUAGGAGCAGGUCAAAACUCCUGUGCUGAUCAGUAGUGGGAUCGCAUCUGUGAAUAGCCACUGCACUCCAGCCUGGGCAACAUAGUGAGACCCCGUCUCUU
ensembl:misc_RNA Metazoa_SRP Metazoan signal recognition particle RNA